GAGUUUGAUCAUGGUUCAGGACGAACGCUGGCGGCGUGCUUAACACAUGCAAGUCGAACGGUACCAAUUUGGUAGUGAUAUCGAAUUGGUAUAGUGGCGGACGGGUGAGUAACGCGUGAGCAAUCUACCUUAGAGUGGGGGACAACAUUCGGAAACGGAUGCUAAUACCGCAUAAGACCACACUGUCUCAUGGCAGAGGGGUCAAAGGAGUAAUCCGCUUUAAGAUGAGCUCGCGUCACAUUAGCUAGUUGGUGAGGUAACGGCCCACCAAGGCGACGAUGGGUAGCCGACCUGAGAGGGUGAUCGGCCACACUGGAACUGAGACACGGUCCGGACUCCUACGGGAGGCAGCAGUGGGGAAUAUUGGGCAAUGGGCGAAAGCCGACCCAGCAACGCCGCGUGAUUGAAGAAGGUCUUCGGAUUGUAAAGAUCUGUCCUAUGGGAAGAAAAAAAUGACGGUACCAUAGGAGGAAGCCCCGGCUAACUACGCGCCAGCAGCCGCGGUGAUACGUAGGGGGCAAGCGUUGUCCGGAUUACUGGGCGUAAGGGUGCGUAGGCGGUAUCUAAGUCAGAUGUGAAUAUCCGAGCUAACUCGGAGGUGCAUUGAACUGGAUACUUGAUGCAGAAGA
rnacentral:rRNA from 2 species